CCUACGGGCGGCUGCAGUGGGGAAUAUUGCACAAUGGGCGCAAGCCUGAUGCAGCCAUGCCGCGUGUGUGAAGAAGGCCUUCGGGUUGUAAAGCACUUUCAGCGGGGAGGAAGGCGGUGAGGUUAAUAACCUCAUCGAUUGACGCUACCCGCAGAAGAAGCACCGGCUAACUCCGUGCCAGCAGCCGCGGUAAUACGGAGGGUGCAAGCGUUAAUCGGAAUUACUGGGCGUAAAGCGCACGCAGGCGGUCUGUCAAGUCGGAUGUGAAAUCCCCGGGCUCAACCUGGGAACUGCAUUCGAAACUGGCAGGCUAGAGUCUUGUAGAGGGGGGUAGAAUUCCAGGUGUAGCGGUGAAAUGCGUAGAGAUCUGGAGGAAUACCGGUGGCGAAGGCGGCCCCCUGGACAAAGACUGACGCUCAGGUGCGAAAGCGUGGGGAGCAAACAGGAUUAGAUACCCGAGUAGUC
rnacentral:rRNA from 1 species